GAGUUUGAUCCUGGCUCAGGAUGAACGCUGGCGGUAUGCCUUACACAUGCAAGUCGUACGAGAGUUUUUAACUCAAGUGGCGGACGGGUGAGUAAUACGUAAGAAUUUGCCUUUAGGAGGGGGACAACAACUGGAAACGGUUGCUAAUACCCCAUAUGCUUUCGAGUGAAAUGGAUUUUCCGCCUAAAGAGAAGCUUGCGGCUGAUUAGCUUGUUGGUGAGGUAAUGGCUCACCAAGGCGACGAUCAGUAUCUGGUUUGAGAGGAUGAUCAGACACACUGGAACUGAGACACGGUCCAGACUCCUACGGGAGGCAGCAUUGGGGAAUUUUCCGCAAUGGGCGAAAGCCUGACGGACCAAUACCGCGUGAGGGAUGAAGGCCUAUGGUUUGUAAACCUCUUUUUUCAGGGAGGAAUCAAUGACGUGUACCUGAAGAAUAAUCAUCGGCUAACUCCGUGCCAGCAGCCGCGGUAAGACGGAGGAUGCACGUGUUAUCCGGAAUCACUGGGC
rnacentral:rRNA from 1 species